rnacentral:lncRNA from 1 species
UUAGGAAAAUAAUAUUCAACUAAGCAAGGCGUUUUAUGUUUGUUUGUGUUUUUCUUUGAACAUUGUAAGACUAGAAUUUUCUUUAUUUUCCUGCUAAAUGUGAAAAAACAUGAUUGUCUGCCCAGUUGUUGCAUUUCUUAGUCUUACGUUGUUCACUCUGACACUGGAAUUUUGAGAAAUGUCUGAUCAUUAGGAAUUUCAAGUUUACAGCAGUCCCUGAAUGCUGCUUUCCAUUCUGAACCCAACAAUUCUAUGGGAUGAACAAGCAACUAAAUCUACAUUAUGGUGGUGGUGUCAGUGAUGGAACAGGCAAAGUCUGACAAAUCUCUUUCCUUGCAGAUAUUCAAAAUACUACUGGAUGUGACCAUGAGUAACCUGAUUUAACUUUGGCAUUAGCCUUGGUUUGAGUGAGAGAAUGGAGCACAGCCAAUGACCCAGAAGUCCAUUCCCACUUGAAUUAUGUUAUGAUUCUACAUGGAGACCUCUAUCUCUUGGGUCCUUGGAAGUCACUGUGGUUUACCAGUGAUCUAUGAUGGCCCAAAGAGACUUAAAAGGAUGCUGCGAUGCCAGGGAGACUUUUGAGAGGGAAGAUUCAUUUAGCAUCUGGACAGCAACUCUUCCAAGAAGAGAAGUUGGACACCGGGAGCUGCUGAAUUAUUCUGUGUAUGAGGAAGCUUAUUUGGGAGACAUCACCUACUGCUCCCUCUGUAUUAUUUUCCUGACUGUGCAAACACUGGGCAUUUGUGCAGAGAGCAAACCUCUACCAGUGCAUGGCAACCCAGUGCAGUCCAGUGUGUUCCUGAAUACAUCAGCUGAGCUGUAAGAAUGUACAAGAUCUUUUCAGUGCCAGUGGGAAUGACUGGGAGUAAAUGAAGACAGAAUAUCACCCACAGUCUCAGUAGGAGAUUGCUUCCCACACUGACACGUGUGCUUGGAUAUUCAGAAGAAAUUAUAUGCACCGAAAAUACAACACAUUGUGUCACAGAACCUGGUAAUUUUGAAGAAAAAAAAUCAUUAAGAGCCAAGUUAUAUGCUACACCAGUAAGUAUAGUUUCUGUUGACAUCAUAUUCAUCCCUAGCAGCAGGAACCUUCAGUGUUACAUUUCAUAGCUGUGU